AAGUGAAGUGGGUUAGUGUGUGGAGUGGGAGUGGGAGUCUGUUCAGGGGGGCACAAAGGUUUUGUUUUGUUACUCCACCACAAGGGGGCGCUCCAGGUGAACGGACAGGUAAAUGCUACAGAAGGGACACAGGUGAGGCAGUGAUCUCUAACACCGCUCUCACCCUCAUCACGAACAUCGCCGUCGCCGUCAGCUGGACGUGUCCGUCUCUUUUUUUUAUUUAAUCAAUAAAAGUCCAAUUAUAACUCAACAACAACCUCUGAUUGGACGAGAAGUGCAUCAAUAACACCUCACUGCACCCAGACAGAGACUAAAAUUCAGGUCAGCAUCGUCACUACAGUUAGGCUCCGCCCACUCCACAUCAGCUGAUAGUCACCGCUGUCUCCUGGGGGUCUUUGCUGCUGCUCUCCCUGCCUGCACUUUAACAUCAAUCCAAGAAGACCCGCCCCCCCCUUCAGGCUCCGCCUCUCCACCUGGGAGGACAGGGUACGAACCCUUUGGUUCUGGUCCGAGUUCUUAAAGCAGACUGUUGGUGUCGACUCUGAUCAUCUGAUUAUUGAUUACUUUAAUAAGAACAGCUGAUAUUGAAAAGUGUCCUCCCAUUGGCUGUAUCAGGUGUCAAUCAUAGAAAACAUGAACCCCCUGGACUGUUCCAGUAUGUUUCCAAAAGUCCAAAAUUUUCUGAAACAUUCCGGAAUCUUACUGAUCUUUUAGAAUGUCUUUGAUGUUACGGAAUGUUCAGUGAUAUUCCAGAAUAUUCUACAUCCUCCAGAGCGUCACCACCACAGACUGUAUUUACUCAUUCAGCAGGAGAGUCUCUGUGAUGACGCUCGGCUCAAACAGCGUAUCCCCCGGUGAUCUACUCAAUCUCUGUCCUCCCAUUGGCUGUAUCAGGUGUCAAUCAUAGAAAACAUGAACCCCCUAAUAACUUUUAAAAAUGGAGCUGUAGAGAAAAAAGAGGACUUGAGCACAAACCAGUCUGACAGUAACUACAUGUCAACAUCACAACCAGGGGGGAGAAACAUUUAUAUUCUGUGUCAUUCAUUUAGAAAGUUUGUCCACAGCUCCAUAAGGAGGCGGGGUUUAGGACCUAUACUGCAGCCCGUCACCAGAGGGCGCUGUUCUCACAGAGAGGAGGCAGACGGCGUCUAUUUUAGAUACAGUCUACGGUCUGACCGUGUCGCUCCAUGAUGCCGGUUCAGAGCAGAUCUGGGUCUGGGUUCUGGUUUCAUAAAAACAGGCUCCGACCCACUAAAAGGAGGAGAAGACGUCCUGACCACGGCAGACAGAGCUCAGAGGAGGAACAUCUUUAAAGACUAAAAAGUUCCUCCAACACAAAAGAGUCGAGUUUGGACUGAACCUGAACCUCACUAACAGCUGAUGUCAGCCCGACUCUCAGAACCUCCAAGAACUUCUUCUUCAUUUUGAACUAAAACACCGAAAAGAAACGAACCUGCACUGAUUCAGAGAGAGCACAUCCAUUCAUUACAACCUGAACACACUGUUUACGUGUGUGUGAGUGUGUGUGUCUGUGUGUGUGUGUCUGUGAGUGUGUGAGUGUGUGUGAAACAGGAAGAGAGUUGGAGCCUACCUCAGCGUCCUCACAGCACUGAAAGAGAGAAAUUAUAAUGCACAGACUGAAACCAACACAGAGAGAGAGAGAGAGAGAGAGAGAACAGGGGGAGAGAGAGGGGGAGACAGAGGGGGGAGAGAGAAGGAGAGAAGAAAGAAAGAGAGAGAGAGGGGGACAGAGAGAGAGAGAGACAGAGGGGGAGGAAACGGAGGACAAACAGAGAGGAAGGCAGAAAAAGAAAGAACAGAGAAAAGGUCGAACUCUCUAAAGCAACCUGAUCAGCUGAAGGUCACCAUGGCAACCACACUGUCAGUCAAGGUAAGGCCCGCCCCCGAGCUAUGCACUCACACACACUGACACACACACACACACA